CUCCAGACUCCUACGGGAGGCAGCAGUGGGGGAUAUUGCACAAUGGGGGGAACCCUGAUGCAGCGACGCCGCGUGGGUGAAGGAGCGUUUCGGCGCGUAAAGCCCUAUCGGCAGGGAAGAAGGAGGACGGUACCUGACUAAGAAGCCCCGGCUAACUACGUGCCAGCAGCCGCGGUAAUACGUAGGGGGCAAGCGUUAUCCGGAUUUACUGGGUGUAAAGGGAGCGUAGACGGCAUAGCAAGUCUGAAGUGAAAGGGCGUGGCUGAACCGCGGAACUGCUUUGGAAACUGGUAAGCUGGAGUACUGGAGAGGCGGGGGGAAUUCCUAGGGGAGCGGGGAAAUGCGUAGA
rnacentral:rRNA from 1 species